GAAUGAAAUCCUGUAGAGAUGCCCAGAGGAGGGGCAUGCCCAGGGAUGGCAGAGGGAAGGACGAGUCAGACGGAGAGAUUUUUCUCUGUUCAAACUCCCUGCUCCCAUUAGUUCCCCCAAACCAAUCACAGGGCUAACAGAUGUGGAAUUCCCUCCUGCCGGGAAGGGCGCUUUCUCUGCUCUAGAAGAGUGGAAGGGUAAGUUUCCCCGAAGUGGGACCCUCCUGGGGGUGCUGGAUUGGCAGGGUUGCUGAGUGGCCAGGCUGAUUUCAAUCCACCGAGCAGAGCGCAGGGUGAGGAGAGAGGAUGGGUGAGGGAGAUGGAGAUGGGAGAAGUGAAGCAGAAGAGGCUGCUGGCCACUGAGGCUAAGAGCAGUCAGCCAUGAGAAACGGGCUCUUUAGGACCCAGGCUGAGUCAUUUGAGGUCAUACUGGCACCGAUGUUCCUGCACACAUGACUUCUGGAAACAAGACUGGGAGGGAAACAGGAAAACUAUCAUCAAAUGGAUAUGUGAUCUGUUACACAAGCCAGGCAUGGUGACAUGAUGACAUCUGUGUUCUUAGCCCUUGGGAGGCAGAGGCAGAGGCAGAGGCAGAGGCAGAGGCAGAGGCAGAGGCAGAGGCAGAGGCAGAGGCAGAGGCAGAGGCAGAGGCAGAGGCAGAGGCCUGAUGCACGUUUAAGGACAGCCUGGUGGUCUACCUAAUGAGUACCAGGACAGCCUAGGCCACAUACAAACCUGCCUCAAACAAACGCCACUAAAGAGAAGACAUGUCCUGAUAACAGGCAGGCAUUAGCCAUAGCUCGUGUCAUUGUAAACCCCGCCUCCACCCCAGACGUCACAAUCACACGGAAUAAACUGUCCAAUUAUGAUGUAUCUUUUGGCCUAUAAAGAAUAUGUUAUUUCCUUACUUUGACAUGGCUAUUCAAAUGAAGGAUCCCUGUAUCCUCAUAAAGUUUUUUCUUUUUUCUUUUACUUGAGACUGAGCUUCACUAUGUAUCCCUGGCUAAUUUGGAAUUCACUGUGAAGACGCCCCUGGCCUUGGCCUGAGAAUGCUGGGAUUACGAGCAUGCGUGAUCAUGCCUGCUCCUUCUGAACUUAAUUUUUAAAAUCGAAGCUCAGACUCGGUAGCCCAGCACACAUGAAGCCUAGGUGUGAUCUUUCCAAUCACAAAACCACAGCAUCUAAGGCUCUAGUACACAAGGACUGAGAAUACUGUGAAUGUUACUUAGGAAACGGCUCAUUGGGUAAAGAGUUUUAUUCUUAGCACCCAGAUAUGGUGGCACACAUGGUGAUCCCAAUCCUGGGGUGCACAGAGGCAGGAGGAUACCUGGCACUCGCUGACUUGCAUCGAAGCAUAACUGACAAGCUCCAGAUCCUGUCUUAAAAAUAAAGUGGGUUCCCCAGCUCCGAAAAAAAGAACCAAAAAAAAAAAAAAAAAAUGAAGUGGGUUACUCCUGGGGGCUGACACUCAAAGUGGACUCCAGCCUACACACACACACACACACCCACACACACACACCACGCACACCACACACACACAUACAGUACACACACACUACACACCACGUACACUCUAUACACAUACACUUUACACACCACACACACAGUACACGCUCUACACACACUACACACCACACACACACAGAAAAACGUGUGAAAACUCUCCCUCCCCCCACAAAAUAUGUGCACACCCUCCCUGCUGACACCCUUACCUAGCUCCUCUAUUUGACAGAUUCUGUGAGGGGAACUCAAGCCUUUGCAAAGGGCUAACCACAUGGUCUCUCCCGAUAGCAUUCCAAGGUCGAGGUUGUAGAGUGUGAAGUGAAGGGCUGCUCAUUAAGUGGUCCUAAUAGAACAAUUAGACAUACAGAUUUGAUAAUUGGGGGUGAAGCCAGGGUACGCAGUGAGCAUUCUGUCCCCACGUAAACAAGUGUAUACUAUAUGACGAACUUAAGUUGGGAUACAGUCUCCUCUACUGAACCACUGUCACUUGUCAAACACUUGAUCUGAAAGACAGCCCAACCAAGGCUGGCAGCCUUCUUGAUCUGUGUGUAGAAAGCUAUCAGCUUUCAUAGUCAGGGGACCCUGAGAAUUCUACUUUUUAAAGGGCCACAGCUGGCAGUGGUGGUAGACGCUUGCACUCCCAGCACUCUCCAGGGAGACUUAGGUGGAUCUCUGUGAGUUCAAGGCCAACCUAAGCUACAUAGAGAUCCUAUCUCAAACAACAACAGACGGGCCUGGGAGAGGUCUCAGUGGGUUGAAGCAUCUGCCACACAAGCCUGGUAACCCGAGCUUCACCCACAUAGCACACACGGGGUAGAGAGGAAAAACCAGCUCCAUAAAGGUGUCCUCUACCCACUACACGUGCACUCCCCACAAGAAAAACAGAACAAAAAAGGUUCCCCAAUUUAAAUCGAUUUAUUUUCAUUUUGUGUGCAUGAGUGUUUGCCUGCAAGUACGUCUGUGCACUGCAUGUGUGCCUGGGGUCCGAGGAGGAGGCCAGAGAGAGUGCUGAACCCCUUGGCACUGGAGUUCCAGAUGAUCUGCCAAGUAGGUGCUGAGAGUUGAACCUGCGUCCUCUGAAAGGGCAGCAAAGCACUCUGGAGCCUUCUCUCUAGCUCCCCAACUGAAAUGAUAAAUUAGCUUGUUUAGUGUGUGUUGUGUGCAUGUCAUGGCCCAUGUGUGGACAAUGGAGUCAGCUUGGGCCUCCUACCAUGUGGGAGCCAUCCCUGGGCCCUCUGAGAUCCGUGCUCUGUGGAAUCUUCCUGGUUUUGUUGUUUGUUUUAGGUUUUUUCAAGGGUGGUGUAAGGGGCUGAGGAGAAGCAAUGGAAGCCUUGGAAGGUAAUAAGACAGAACUUCAACUUCUUUACCAGGGGAACUUUGCAAUCUAAAGGUUAGUGGAACUAUUCCCCUCCCUUAUUUUGCCCUGUCUGGUUUUGGUUUUUCUUGUUUGUUUCGUUUGUAGUUGUUUUGUUUUGGGUGGGGCAGGGGAAUCACAUUUAGUACCCAGUGUCACAUCUUUUGUAGCGUCUCAUCUGCUAGAUUUACCCAGAUUUCUCAUUUACUUCCUUCCCUCUCCUUCCUUCUCUCUUUGCGAUAAGAGUGUCCUGUAGACCAGGCUGGACCCAAAUCCAAUCUGAAACCCAAGAUGACCUCGACCUCCUGAUUCUGCUUUGCCUUCUGGAGAGCUGGGAUUGCAGGUGUGCACUCCCACCUCUGGCUGCUCGAGAGGUACCAGGGAGGUACCCCAUUAGAGCAAGCAGACGGGCAGGCAGGCAUUCUACCAGCUCGGCUACAGUCCAGCCCUGGCCUGCUGUGUUUUUAUUUUCAAACACUGUUUUCAUAUCUAGAAGGUUAGAACUGUGUGAGGGCACUCUCUAGGGUGUGUGUGGGCAGAGGAUAAGCUUAGGUGUUGUCUCAGAUGCUGUCCUAAGGCUGGUUGAGUACUUAGGCUGGCUGUCCAAAAAGGCGGGAUGUGUCUGUCUGUUUUUCUAGGGCUGCGACUACAGGUGUGAGGCGCUGAGCUUGGCUUUUUGGGAUGUUCAAGGAUGGAACUCGGGUCUGUGCUAACACUGGGUCUUUUUUUAACCUUCAUUUACUGUAUUUCAUUUCCCCUCUGUGGUCUUGGCCCUUUCUGUGGUGCUGCAGAUAGAAACCAAGACCUCAGGCUCGCUAUGCAUGCGCUGUCACUGAGCGCUAUCCCAGGCCUCUCCUCUAAGGUUUUAAGCUUAUGUAAAGUAGUGGUAACCAUUUCCCUCCACAAAGUCCGGCCGCCAUUUACUGCCUGCUCAUUAUGAGUGGCAUUUCUUGCUGCUUUGAUCUCUUUUCAGUCUUGACUGAAUGCCAGGCAAAUAUUUCUUUUUUUUUUUUUUUUUUUUUUUUUUUGGUUUUUCAAGACAGUUUCUCAGUGUAGCCUUGGCUGUCCUGGAACUCUGUGGACCAGAGUGGCCUUGAACUGACAGAAAUCCUCCUGCCUCAGCUUCCUAAGUAGCUGGGACCACAGACAAGGGUGGACAUAGUAGGCCUCACAUCUGUGUAUGUUAAAUUUAUAUUACCAGGUGCUGAGUAUUUUUUUUAAUAAAAAACUAUUUUUGUGUAUGGGGCUUUUCCUGAAUUAUUUUGCCUGUUAUGAGUACCUAGUACUUCGAUCUGGUCCUUGGAAAUUGUGAGCCAUCAUGUGGGUGCUGAGAACUAAACCUGGGUCCUCUGCAAGAGCAGCCAGUGAGUGCUCCUUAAGAAGCCGCCUCUCCACCUAGGUGCGGGGCAUUCUUAUGUCCAUAUAGAUACCUUUCUGGUUUAGGAUGCAGUGGAAAAAAAAACCAUUUUUCUCCUUCUAAAUCUUGUGGGUUUCUUGUUUGUUUUUGUCUUUUAAGACAGGGUCCUGGAAUUCACUAUGUAGAUCAGGCUGGUCUUGAACUCACAGAGAUCUGCUUAUCUCUUUACUAGAGUGCUAGGAUUAAAGGCAUCCACCACCAUGCCUGCCUGCUUUUAAAUUUUGUUUGUUUUUGUUUUUUUGAGACAGGGUUUCUCUGGAACUCCAGCUGUUCUGGAACUCAUUGUGUAGACCAGGCUGGCCUCAACUCAGAGAUCCUCCCGGCUCUGUCUCCUGAGUUCUGAGUGGGAACUUCGAUGAAGCUUAGGAUGAUUUUUGAACUGAUCUUUCUAUGCACCGCCACCUCUGGGUUACAUGGUUCUGGGGAACUUUCCCGGAGCCUAGUGUACUAGUCAAUGCCUCUCCUGGGCCACAGUCCCAGUCCACGCUUCUUAAUUUUACUUUAUUAGUAUUUAUCUUAUUACCCUUAUUAAUAUUUAUUAAUAUAUGUUAAAUUUCAGUAGGGGACGGCUUGUGAAAGUCCACUGUCUUCUCUACUGUGUGGGUCCUGGGGAUUGGAAGCAGGAAGCUCGACCUGCUGAGCCAUCUUACCAGCCCCUCGUUAAUUUUCAAUAGAGGGUUAAUUUAAUUCCAGUCUAGACUGAGGCCCUUCUGCGUACUUAACUUGAUGCCCCAGGAACUACAUGAGUUAGGAGGGAGCUUCGUGUGCAGCUGGCUGUGGUCCUUUUGGCUGGUUCCUAAGACCUGUGGGUCACUAACGCUAGGGACUGAGUAGAGCAUUUGCCUAGAAUGAAUGCAUCAGGUAGGAGCUAAGGAGGGUCACGUCCAGUCCCCAGGAACUUCCUCUCCACCCCCACACCCUUAACUACCAGAAGAAAGAGGCAGUGCAAGUUUUCAGAGUGUGUUCUCUGUGCAGCACUUUCCUGCUGCCCCACUGUGUGCCAAGGCCUCACAGGAAGCUGGGCACUUAAAGGCUCAUCACUAACUUCCCCUCUCAGGGGUCAGAACUUUGUGCUGCCUCAGACCUAGUGGCUAAAGUCUACUGUUUCAUGUAUUAUGUUCAAAGAGGAAGAGCAUUACAUUAAUUAAUUUGUGCAUGCAUGUGUGCACGUGUGCGCAGCUAUGUGCAUGCCACACAAAGCAAAGGUCAGAGGACAGCUUCGGGGCGUCAGUUAUUUUUGUUCCAUGAGACAGAGGAGACAGAGCUCCCGUCUUCAGCUUGGCAGCCUAUACUGAGCUGCUAUGCUAGCUUUCCAAGCUUUAAUUGUUUCUUGUGUAGGUAGAUAAAGCCACCACCGCUCUGCAGUGUUUUAAAUGUGUUUAGUUUCUUAUCUAUCUUUGUGGGUGUGAGCAUGGGGGCCUGCAUUCCUGUGCCCAGAAACUAGGACAGCGGCUCUCUGCCGUUCCCACAUCCCAUCAUAUUUGAGAUGGGCUCUCGCACUAGAACUAGUUUGCCAUUUCAGCUGGGAUGCCUGGCCAGAGAGCUUCUGCACUGCCUUGGCCUCUCUCUGCCUCAGGAGCUUCUAGAUCUGCCUGCCUCCUCCCUGGCAUCCUUGGGGUUACAGGAACACAUAGCUACGCCCAGCAUUUUACUCCGCUGGUUUCAUCUAGACCUUCAUGUUUACACAGUGAGCUGACGAGAAUCUUCCUGGACUGACACCGGUAGCAGGGGUGGAAGAGAGGAGCUGUCUCCAGUGGAUGGAAGUCAGAACAGCUCCGAGGACACGGAGCAGGCAAGACUGUAGGUCACCCAGGCGGCAGGCACGGGCUGGUAAGCAGGACGACUCAUUGUCUCACUGUCCCUCCAGGUUAAUUCUGUUCCAGGGAGCGAGGGAUACCAGGCUUGGCCAACAGGGUACAAGCAGCGCUGUCCGCGGACCACUAAGGACAUCAAUACUCCAUAUCUAGUAGCUGGUCUUUCCCACCUCGUUCUACCUCAAGCACCAGAUUUCUUAUGAAAUAUGACCCCGUGAGUUAGAAAAGAACAUGACUGUGUGUUCAGUUGUAGUCUGUGGGAGAAGACAAACUAAACUGAAGUUGUCAGGGCAGGAGACAGGACUGGCAGGUGUGACGGUUUGAAGAAUGGCCCCACAGGCUCACCAGGGAGUGGCACUAUUUGAAAAAUGAUAAGGAUCAGGAGGGGUGGCCUUGUUUGAGGAAGUGUGUCACUGGGGUGGCCUGUGGACUGGGAUGUAUCUCAGCUCCGGCUCCAGCAUCACGUGGGCUGCAAUGCUCCUAGCCAAGAUGAUAAUGGACUAAGCCUCUGAAAUUGUAAGCAAGAAACUAAAUGCUUUCUUUAAUCCCAUGCAGCAGGGAGUCAGGCAGUGGCCAGCAGAUCGCUGAGUUCAAGACCAGCCUGGUUCAUAGAGUAAGUUCAAGGUCAGUCAGGGUUACACAGAGAAACCCUGCCGGGGGGCUCAGGUCGCCUUGGUUGGAGUUCUCACUGAUGGAACAGUGACAAGAGAGCAGGUGAAGUGCUUACCUACAGGACUAAUAUCCUGAGACUCAACCCACAGCUCUCAAGAAACUAGACAGAGCUGUGCACAUCUAGACUCCCACUGUCUCCCUGGGGAAUGGCCAGAAGUUCAUGGCCAGCCAGUGAACUGAAAGAGACACUGUCUAAAACACAAUGCAAGUCAAGGCCUGACACCCAAGGUUAUCCUCUGGGACACAUAUUCAAAGACACAUAUGCAUCACACACACAAGGAGGAGGAGUCAGACUCAAUAUGCUUGCCUCCGGCUUUGCAGUUACUGUUCAGUUAAAGACAUACAUGUUCACUGUGUCACCAGCUAAUGGCCCAGCAGAAGGGGAACGUAGAAAAGGCUAAGACGGUGACUCUAACAGUGGGCAGGCAGAAACCUCUAAUGCCGUGUGGUUUGCAGGCCUUUUAAAUUACGUCUUGACCAGGCGUGGUGGCACACACACUAAUCCCAGUACCUGAGAGGCGGAGGCAGGAGGGCCACAGUAAGUUUCAGGCCAGCCUGGCCUGCAUAGUGAGUUCCGGGUUAGACAGGGAUCUAUAAUGAAACCUUGCCUCAAAAACAAUUUAGGCCCUCUGUGGUGACAUGCGCCUUUAAUCCCAGCUCUUAGGAAGCAGGCAGACCUCUGUGAGUUCACAGAGAGUUCCAGGGUAGCCAGGGCUACACAAAGACCCUGUCUUAAAAACAAAUAACAAAAUUAAUUUUAAAAAGCAAAAGGAAAUCCUGUCUGAAAUGAAGAGGGAGAGUAAUAAGGCUAAUAUACUAAGCACCACGUCAGCAAAACCAAAUGCACCCCACGUGGGCAGCAGAGAGGCCUCGCAGUCUAAGGAGCUAUAGGAGCAGGAUUGUGCAGAGGAUGGGGACCUACAGGAGACGGGGCUCAUUUGUUUUGGAGAAUGCUUUAAAUAUAAUAAAGGCAAUAAAUCUUACCUGCU
rnacentral:lncRNA from 1 species